UACAUAUAGAACACACACACUGCAGAGAGAGGGAGUGGAGGUACAGAUACUGUACAUAUAGAACACACACACUGCAGAGAGGGAGUGGAGGUACAGAUACUGUACAUAUAGAACACACACACUGCAGAGAGAGGGAGUGGAGGUACAGAUACUGUACAUAUAGAACACACACACUGCAGAGAGAGGGAGUGGAGGUACAGAUACUGUACAUAUAGAACACACACACUGCAGAGAGAGGGAGUGGAGGUACAGAUACUGUACAUAUAGAACACACACUGCAGAGAGAGGGAGUGGAGGUACAGAUACUGUACAUAUAGAACACACACUGCAGAGAGAGGGAGUGGAGGUACAGAUACUGUACAUAUAGAACACACACACUGCAGAGAGAGGGAGUGGAGGUACAGAUACUGUACAUAUAGAACACACACUGCAGAGAGAGGGAGUGGAGGUACAGAUACUGUACAUAUAGAACACACACACUGCAGAGAGAGGGAGUGGAGGUACAGAUACUGUACAUAUAGAACACACACUGCAGAGAGAGGGAGUGGAGGUACAGAUACUGUACAUAUAGAACACACACACUGCAGAGAGAGGGAGUGGAGGUACAGAUACUGUACAUAUAGAACACACACUGCAGAGAGAGGGAGUGGAGGUACAGAUACUGUACAUAUAGAACACACACACUGCAGAGAGAGGGAGUGGAGGUACAGAUACUGUACAUAUAGAACACACACUGCAGAGAGAGGGAGUGGAGGUACAGAUACUGUACAUAUAGAACACACACACUUCAGAGAGAGGGAGUGGAGGUACAGAUACUGUACAUAUAGAACACACACACUGCAGAGAGAGGGAGUGGAGGUACAGAUACUGUACAUAUAGAACACACACACUGCAGAGAGAGGGAGUGGAGGUACAGAUACUGUACAUAUAGAACACACACACUGCAGAGAGAGGGGGUGGAGGUACAGCAGCCUAGUCCCUCGCUCACUGGUUGAGCAGCCUAGUCCCUAGCUCACUGGUUGAGCAGCCUAGUCCCUCGCUCACUGGUUGAGCAGCCUAGUCCCUCGCUCACUGGUUGAGCAGCCUAGUCCCUCGCUCACUGGUUGAGCAGCCUAGUCCCUCGCUCACUGGUUGAGCAGCCUAGUCCCUCGCUCACUGGUUGAGCAGCCUAGUCCCUCGCUCACUGGUUGAGCAGCCUAGUCCCUCGCUCACUGGUUGAGCAGCCUAGUCCCUCGCUCACUGGUUGAGCAGCCUA